AGGGGAUUAGUUGAGUGGUAAAAAUGCCUGGCUUACAUCCAGGAGGUCGUAAGUUCGAUUCUUACAUCCCCUAC
rnacentral:tRNA from 1 species